GAUGAACGCUAGCGGCAGGCUUAAUACAUGCAAGUCGUGGGGCAGCAUGACUGUAGCAAUACAGUUGAUGGCGACCGGCAAACGGGUGCGGAACACGUACACAACCUUCCUUUAAGUGGGGAAUAGCCCAGAGAAAUUUGGAUUAAUACCCCGUAACAUAGGGAAAAGGCAUCUUUUUAUUAUUAUAGCAGCAAUGCGCUUAAUGAUGGGUGUGCGGCUGAUUAGAUAGUUGGCGGGGUAACGGCCCACCAAGUUUGCGAUCAGUAACUGGUGUGAGAGCACGACCAGUCACACGGGCACUGAGACACGGGCCCGACUCCUACGGGAGGCAGCAGUAAGGAAUAUUGGUCAAUGGACGCAAGUCUGAACCAGCCAUGCCGCGUGGAGGAUGAGGGUCCUCUGGAUUGUAAACUUCUUUUAUAUGGGACGAAAAAAGGUCUUUCUAGAUCAACUGACGGUACCAUAUGAAUAAGCACCGGCUAACUCCGUGCCAGCCGCCGCCGUAAUAC
rnacentral:rRNA from 1 species